rnacentral:miRNA from 1 species
GCCCCUGAUGCAGCUCAAGGUCUGCAAUACUCUAUAAUUAAUGCCAAAAUACCAGAGUAUUGCAGACCUUGAGCUGCAUCAGGGGC